rnacentral:rRNA from 1 species
AACGAACGCUGGCGGCAUGCCUAACACAUGCAAGUCGAACGAAGGCUUCGGCCUUAGUGGCGCACGGGUGCGUAACGCGUGGGAAUCUGCCCUUUGGUUCGGAAUAACAGCUGGAAACGGCUGCUAAUACCGGAUGAUGACGAAAGUCCAAAGAUUUAUCGCCAGAGGAUGAGCCCGCGUUGGAUUAGGUAGUUGGUGGGGUAAAGGCCUACCAAGCCGACGAUCCAUAGCUGGUCUGAGAGGAUGAUCAGCCACACUGGGACUGAGACACGGCCCAGACUCCUACGGGAGGCAGCAGUGGGGAAUAUUGGACAAUGGGCGCAAGCCUGAUCCAGCAAUGCCGCGUGAGUGAUGAAGGCCCUAGGGUUGUAAAGCUCUUUUACCAGGGAAGAUAAUGACUGUACCGGGAGAAUAAGCCCCGGCUAACUCCGUG